rnacentral:tRNA from 2 species
AGAAAUAUAAGAUGUAUACUAAAGCUGCUAACUUUAAGUAAUAGCGGUUAAAUUCCGUUAAUAUUUCUA